rnacentral:lncRNA from 1 species
UAGUUCAUGGUUAACUUCCUAGGCUGUCCCUGGGAUGCACUGACUGACUCCUUCUCAGACAGGAUGUUCUAUUCACCUACUUCUUUGCUGACAGAAUCCCCUUGGCUCCACAGGUGUGGCUCUUGUGUCAGGAUAAACCACGAUGCUGGUUACUUCAAUCAAGGCACUGACAUUCAUCUUGCCAGUGAUUUCCUUGGAACUGGGAAAAUGAGGCUGCGAGAUGGGAGGAAGAAGACAAUAUCUAAAAUCGGGAUGGGGACAAAAUAAGUGGCAUGCAUGGUGGCAGUGCGUAGAAUGGAAAUCUAAGGGGAAGUGGGCACAUUGGAAGAAAGAAGGAUUCUUACAGCAGUGUACACAGGUGGAAACCCCAUCUAGCCUGCCAGGCUGCUGUAUAAUGGAGCAGAGAAGUGAACGCAAUUGUGACCUCAAAAUCUAUGAGAUUAUUCAGUAGACUUGUUAAGUUGACACAAGGGCUGGUUAAAUUUAAUGCUACGAAGCUGUGUACCUUUCUUAUGCUCUCUCUAAAAAGAAUACACAACGUAUAUAAUAUCAUAAAUGAAGUAUGAAUAAAUUUGAACGUGA